rnacentral:rRNA from 1 species
GAUGAACGCUGGCGGCGUGCCUAAUACAUGCAAGUCGAGCGAACAGACGAGGAGCUUGCUCCUCUGACGUUAGCGGCGGACGGGUGAGUAACACGUGGAUAACCUACCUAUAAGACUGGGAUAACUUCGGGAAACCGGAGCUAAUACCGUAUAACAUGUUGAACCGCAUGGUUCAACAGUGAAAGACGGUCUUGCUGUCACUUAUAGAUGGAUCCGCGCCGCAUUAGCUAGUUGGUAAGGUAACGGCUUACCAAGGCAACGAUGCGUAGCCGACCUGAGAGGGUGAUCGGCCACACUGGAACUGAGACACGGUCCAGACUCCUACGGGAGGCAGCAGUAGGGAAUCUUCCGCAAUGGGCGAAAGCCUGACGGAGCAACGCCGCGUGAGUGAAGAAGGUCUUCGGAUCGUAAAACUCUGUUAUUAGGGAAGAACAAAUGUGUAAGUAACUAUGCACGUCUUGACGGUACCUGAUCAGAAAGCCACGGCUAACUACGUG